UUUGGACAAUGCCUCAGUCCUCUGCAAUAAUUUAUUUUUAAGUUUUUUUUUAAUCGAUUACUAAAAUGGUCAGCAAAUGAUGUCCUCAAAAUUUUGAGUGGCCUGGUGGACUGUAAAAGUUUCGAAUUUGCUGGUCUGCUUGAACAUCUACUGUCCCUGGGUAAGCAGAGCACUGUUAAGUGUUUAAUAUGGUUUUAUUUGGCAAAUGAAUGAAGGGACUUUCUACAAAUGAUAUACAUCUUGAGAUGUGCCCCUUUUCAAGUAAACUCUAGUAUAUAAUGAUGAAAAUUAUGUAUUAGAUCAAACAUAAAGUAUUUUUUAUAUUUACCAGGCGACUGCAUUUAAUUUCAUAUCUACCGCACAAUGACAGUGCACAAGUAGAGUGGCUUAUGGGAUAGUAGGUUGACAGCGCAGCAACUCAACACACUAAAAGACGCAAUCUGAUUACCACUAUGUAGCCGCUGCAAAAGAAUGAAAAGUGUUGACACUUUUAUUAUUGAUGAAAUCUCAAUGUUCAGUUAUCUAUGUUUGAAAAGUUAGAGGCUGUUAUGAGGCAUAAGAGGAACUGUAGUGAAGUAUUUGGUGGGCCACAGCCUGUUGUUGUAGAAGAUUUUCCUCAAUUCCCCCCUGUUAGAAAUGCAAGGUACAAUGAUCCUGAAGAAUUUUGUUUCCAGUCUAGGUUAUUUCCAGUUCAUAGUAUAUAUCUGCUACAUAAUAUGAGACAGAAAGAUAAACAGUUUAUUAAAAUAGUGGACAAUCUUGCCAUUGGAAAGGUUCACAAUGAAACUACCGCUUAUUUGGAACAUUUAAGGAGGCCUUUAUUGCCAGAGACUACAAGACUGUUCUCCGUAAAUAUAUUGGCAGACAUUUACAACAGAGACUGCCAAAUGGAACUCACAGGUGAUGUCUACAAAUUCGAAGCAAUAGCAAUGACAAGGGAGAGGAGCGGCACUUAAACACCUUGAUUAUUAAGAAGACCGUUUGGUUUAAAAAAACAUGCAAAGGUCAUGUUACUGUGUAGCCUGUCUCACUAGCAUGUAAAUGGUUUAAAUGGCACAGUAGUGGAAGUAACAGGGGGUGAAGCAUAUGUGCACUUUUCAACACUAGGCAAGCUAACCACUUUAACAAGGAUGAACUUUGAAGGGUUGAAGAUAACUGUAGACAGAUGUUCCAGUCUAGACAGCUAGUUUUGGCGAUGGGCCGUGUGAAGUCACCUGAUGUUUUGCGGGUAGUGAACUUCACUGAAGAUACAGUUAUCGCACAACCUUCACUAGUGUUAAAUUUCUUGAAUGGCCAGUGGAUACCAGCAGAGGUUGAAAUCCUGCUGCCACACAUGGUGAGAACUUAGUGUACUGUCCUGUUUUAAUAUGGUCCUGAUCCUGUUGUGUCACAUUAUUUUACAUUUAAAUGUUUAUCAAAGUUGGCUGCAAUUCAUUGACUGCAAUCAUAUUACUCAUCAUCAAUAGUUGACUAUCCUAAACUAAGACUCAGUGUUUUAGUAAUUCCUGUCUUUUAUGAACAUGUAGACCAUUCAGUGUUUUCUGAAUAAUAGAAUUGCACUAAAGCAGGUGCUCUGAGGCAUGAGAGGAUUUGCACAUUUCAGGAACACUUCACAAAAAAUUCUAGGACACGUGUACUGCAAUUAUUUGUACUUCAAAUUUGCUUGGUGGCGUUCUAUGCUUCGAUAAGAUCUUUAAUCUUAUGAAUUGAUGUCUUUGUCAUGAUAUUCGAGUGAGGCAGCACUGCUACAAGUAGUUGUUAAUGUAACUGAAAAGUUGAUGAAAAAGACACUAAACUCGAACACACGCACACGCACACGCACAUGAUGAAAAGAAGUAUUUUGCCAGGUUUCUAAAAGUCGCUACAAAAAAAACGUAGCGAGUCUCCAAAUUGUAACGAAGUUGUUGGUGUGCAUGCGCUCAAAUGUAGCGACAUUCCACCACAAACAAGUCCACACGCAC
rnacentral:lncRNA from 1 species